GGUAGACGCUGGCGGCGUGCCUAAUCAUGCAAGUCGAGCGAACAGACAAGGAGCUUGCUCCUUUGACGUUAGCGGCGGACGGGUGAGUAACACGUGGGUAACCUACCUAUAAGACUGGGAUAACUUCGGGAAACCGGAGCUAAUACCGGAUAAUAUUUCGAACCGCAUGGUUCGAUAGUGAAAGAUGGUUNUGCUAUCACUUAUAGAUGGACCCGCGCCGUAUUAGCUAGUUGGUAAGGNAACGGCUUACCAAGGNGACGAUACGUAGCCGACCNGAGAGGGUGAUCGGCCNNACUGGAACUGAGACACUGGUCCAGACUCCUACGGGAGGCAGCAGUAGGGAAUCUUCCGCAAAUGGGCGAAAGCCUGACGGAGCAAACGCCGCGUGAGUAAUGAAGGUCUUCGGAUCGUAAAACUCUGUUAUUAGGGAAGAACAUACGUGUAAGUAACUAUGCACGUCUUGACGGUACCUUAAUCAGAAAGCCACGGCUAACUACGUGCCAGCAGCCGCGGUAAUACGUAGGUGGCAAGCGUUAUCCGGAAUUAUUGGGCGUAAAGCGCGCGUAGGCGGUUUUUUAAGUCUGAUGUGAAAGCCCACGGCUCAACCGUGGAGGGUCAUUGGAAACUGGAAAACUUGAGUGCAGAAGAGGAAAGUGGAAUUCCAUGUGUAGCGGUGAAAUGCGCAGAGAUAUGGAGGAACNCCAGGCGAAGCGACUUUCUGGUCUGNACUACGCUA
rnacentral:rRNA from 1 species